rnacentral:rRNA from 1 species
CGGCUGACCGCCAUUCCUUGCACGUGCGAGCCGAACAGACAGGAGCUUGCUCCCUUAUGACGUUAGCGGCGGACGGGUGAGUAACACGUGGGUAACCUACCUAUAAGACUGGGAUAACUUCGGGAAACCGGAGCUAAUACCGGAUAAUAUUUCGAACCGCAGGUUCGAUAGUGAAAGAUGGUUUUGCUAUCACUUAUAGAUGGACCCGCGCCGUAUUAGCUAGUUGGUAAGGUAACGGCUUACCAAGGCGACGAUACGUAGCCGACCUGAGAGGGUGAUCGGCCACACUGGAACUGAGACACGGUCCAGACUCCUACGGGAGGCAGCAGUAGGGAAUCUUCCGCAAUGGGCGAAAGCCUGACGGAGCAACGCCGCGUGAGUGAUGAAGGUCUUCGGAUCGUAAAACUCUGUUAUUAGGGAAGAACAUACGUGUAAGUAACUAUGCACGUCUUGACGGUACCUAAUCAGAAAGCCACGGCUAACUACGUGCCAGCAGCCGCGGUAAUACGUAGGUGGCAAGCGUUAUCCGGAAUUAUUGGGCGUAAAGCGCGCGUAGGCGGUUUUUUAAGUCUGAUGUGAAAGCCCACGGCUCAACCGUGGAGGGUCAUUGGAAACUGGAAAACUUGAGUGCAGAAGAGGAAAGUGGAAUUCCAUGUGUAGCGGUGAAAUGCGCAGAGAUAUGGAGGAACACCAGUGGCGAAGGCGACUUUCUGGUCUGUAACUGACGCUGAUGUGCGAAAGCGUGGGGAUCAAACAGGAUUAGAUACCCUGGUAGUCCACGCCGUAAACGAUGAGUGCUAAGUGUUUAGGGGGGUUUCCGCCCCCUUAGUGCUGCAGCUAACGCAUUAAGCACUCCGCCCGGGGGAGUACGAACCGCAAGGGUUGAAACUCAAAGGAAUUGACGGGGACCCGCCACAAGCGGUGGAAGCAUGGUGGUUUAAUUCGAAAGCAACGCGAAGGAACCUUACCAAAUCUUGACAUCCUUUUGACAACUCUAGAAGAUAGAGCCUUCCCCCUUCGGGGGGACAAAAGUGACAGGGUGGUUGCAUGGGUUGUCGUUCAGCUCGUGUCCUUGAGAAUGUUUGGGUUUAAAUUCCCCGCAACCAAGCGCCAACCCCUUUAAACCUUAAUUU